AAAGUUGUUGCAGUUAAAAAGCUCGUAGUUGAACUUCAGRCCUGGYCGGGCGGUCCGCCUAACGGUGUGUACUGUCUGGCUGGGUCUUACCUCUUGGUGAACCGGCAUGCCCUUCACUGGGUGUGUCGGGGAACCAGGACUUUUACCUUGAGAAAAUUAGAGUGUUCAAAGCAGGCYUAUGCCCGAAUACAUUAGCAUGGAAUAAUAAAAUAGGACGUGCGGUUCUAUUUUGUUGGUUUCUAGAGYCGCCGUAAUGAUUAAUAGGGAUAGUUGGGGGCAUUAGUAUUCAGUWGCUAGAGGUGAAAUUCUUGGAUUUACYGAAGACUAACUACUGCGAAACAUUUGCCAAGGAUGUUUUCAUUAAUCAAGAACGAAGGUUAGGGGAUCGAAAACGAUCAGAUACCGUUGUAGUCUUAACAGUAA
rnacentral:rRNA from 1 species